ACUCCUGCGGGAGGCAGCAGUGGGGAAUUUUGGACACUGGGCGAAAGCCUGAUCCAGCAAUGCCGCGUGAGUGAAGAAGGCCUUCGGGUUGUAAAGCUCUUUUGUCAGGGAAGAAACGGUGAAAGCUAAUAUCUUUUGCUAAUGACGGUACCUGAAGAAUAAGCACCGGCUAACUACGUGCCAGCAGCCGCGGUAAUACGUAGGGUGCAAGCGUUAAUCGGAAUUACUGGGCGUAAAGCGUGCGCAGGCGGUUUUGUAAGUCUGAUGUGAAAUCCCCGGGCUCAACCUGGGAAUUGCAUUGGAGACUGCAAGGCUAGAAUCUGGCAGAGGGGGGUAGAAUUCCACGUGUAGCAGUGAAAUGCGUAGAUAUGUGGAGGAACACCGAUGGCGAAGGCAGCCCCCUGGGUCAAGAUUGACGCUCAUGCACGAAAGCGUGGGGAGCAAACAGGAUUAGAAACCCGAGUAGUCCCAUG
rnacentral:rRNA from 1 species